AGCGGAGUGGCACAGUGGAAGUGUGGUUGGCUCAUAACCCAUAGCUCCCACGAUCGAAACAUGGCUUCACUA